rnacentral:rRNA from 1 species
CUGCAAGUUCGUGGGGCAGCAGGUCCCGCAGCAAUGCGGGAUGCUGGCGACCGGCAAACGGGUGCGGAACACGUACACAACCUUCCUUUAAGUGGGGAAUAGCCCGGGGAAACCCGGAUUAAUACCCCGUAACAUAAUGAAGUGGCAUCACUUUAUUAUUAAAGCUCCGGCGCUUGAAGAUGGGUGUGCGGCUGAUUAGGUAGUUGGCGGGGUAACGGCCCACCAAGCCUACGAUCAGUAACUGGUGUGAGAGCACGACCAGUCACACGGGCACUGAGACACGGGCCCGACUCCUACGGGAGGCAGCAGUAAGGAAUAUUGGUCAAUGGACGCAAGUCUGAACCAGCCAUGCCGCGUGGAGGAUGAAGGUCCUCUGGAUUGUAAACUUCUUUUAUCUGGGAAGAAAUCCUCGAAUUCUUUUGGGGUUGACGGUACCAGAUGAAUAAGCACCGGCUAACUCCGUGCCAGCAGCCGCGGUAAUACGGAGGGUGCAAGCGUUAUCCGGAUUCACUGGGUUUAAAGGGCGCGUAGGCGGACAAGUAAGUCAGUGGUGAAAUCCCUGGGCUCAACUCAGAAACUGCCGUUGAUACUAUUUGUCUUGAAUAUCAUGGAGGUAAGCGGAAUAUGUCAUGUAGCGGUGAAAUGCUUAGAUAUGACAUAGAACACCGAUAGCGAAGGCAGCUUACUACAUGGAGAUUGACGCUGAGGCACGAAA